rnacentral:rRNA from 1 species
AUUGAACGCUGGCGGCAUGCUUUACACAUGCAAGUCGAACGGCAGCGCGGGGCAACCUGGCGGCGAGUGGCGAACGGGUGAGUAAUACAUCGGAACGUACCCAGAAGUGGGGGAUAACGUAGCGAAAGUUACGCUAAUACCGCAUACGUUCUACGGAAGAAAGUGGGGGAUCUUCGGACCUCAUGCGUUUGGAGCGGCCGAUGUCUGAUUAGCUAGCUGGUGAGGUAAAGGCUCACCAAGGCGACGAUCAGUAGCUGGUCUGAGAGGACGACCAGCCACACUGGGACUGAGACACGGCCCAGACUCCUACGGGAGGCAGCAGUGGGGAAUUUUGGACAAUGGGCGCAAGCCUGAUCCAGCAAUGCCGCGUGAGUGAAGAAGGCCUUCGGGUUGUAAAGCUCUUUUGUCAGGGAAGAAACGGUUGGGGCUAAUAUCCCCGGCUAAUGACGGUACCUGAAGAAUAAGCACCGGCUAACUACGUGCCAGCCGCCGCGGUAAAAC